rnacentral:rRNA from 1 species
GAUGAACGCUGACAGAAUGCUUAACACAUGCAAGUCGAUUCGAUUUACCUUCGGGUAUUGAGGAUGGCGGACGGGUGAGUAACGCGUAAGGAACUUGCCUCUUGGUCUGGGACAACUGUUGGAAACGACAGCUAAUACCGGAUAUUAUGAGAUUCUCGCAUGGGAAACUUAUGAAAGCUAUAUGCGCCAAGAGAGAGCCUUGCGUUCCAUUAGCUAGUUGGUGGGGUAACGGCCCACCAAGGCGACGAUGGAUAGCCGGCCUGAGAGGGUGAACGGCCACAAGGGGACUGAGACACGGCCCUUACUCCUACGGGAGGCAGCAGUGGGGAAUAUUGGACAAUGGGCCACAAGCCUGAUCCAGCAAUUCUGUGUGCACGAUGAAGGUCUUCGGAUUGUAAAGUGCUUUCAGUUGGGAAGAAGAAAGUGACGGUACCAACAGAAGAAGCGACGGCUAAAUACGUGCCAGCAGCCGCGGUAAUACGUAUGUCGCAAGCGUUAUCCGGAUUUAUUGGGCGUAAAGCGCGUCUAGGCGGAAAAAUAAGUCUGAUGUUAAAAUGCGGGGCUCAACUCCGUAUUGCGUUGGAAACUGUUUUUCUAGAGUACUGGAGAGGUGGGCGGAACUACAAGUGUAGAGGUGAAAUUCGUAGAUAUUUGUAGGAAUGCCGAUGGAGAANUCAGCUCACUGG